rnacentral:rRNA from 1 species
GUUGUCAGUAAGUCGCUCUAUA